rnacentral:rRNA from 1 species
AGUGAACGCUGGCGGUAGGCCUAACACAUGCAAGUCGAACGGCAGCACAGUAAGAGCUUGCUCUUACGGGUGGCGAGUGGCGGACGGGUGAGGAAUACAUCGGAAUCUACUUUUUCGUGGGGGAUAACGUAGGGAAACUUACGCUAAUACCGCAUACGACCUACGGGUGGAAGCAGGGGAUCUUCGGACCUUGCGCGAUUGAAUGAGCCGAUGUCGGAUUAGCUAGUUGGCGGGGUAAAGGCCCACCAAGGCGACGAUCCGUAGCUGGUCUGAGGAUGAUCAGCCACACUGGAACUGAGACACGGUCCAGACUCCUACGGGAGGCAGCAGUGGGGAAUAUUGGACAAUGGGCGCAAGCCCGAUCCAGCCAUACCGCGUGGGUGAAGAAGGCCUUCGGGUUGUAAAGCCCUUUUGUUGGGAAAGAAAAGCAGCAGGUUAAUACCCCGCUGUUCUGACGGUACCCAAAGAAUAAGCACCGGCUAACUUCGUG